GGAGUAUUUCAAUGGUAGAAUGCCGGUCUCCAAAACCGUUAAUGUGGGUUCGAUUCCUGCCUCCC
rnacentral:tRNA from 1 species